rnacentral:misc_RNA from 1 species
UACAGAGGUGGCAAGCGUUGUUCGGAUUUAUUGGGCGUAAAGGGUUCGUAGGCGGUCCAAAAAGUCGGGUGUGAAAUCCCACGGCUCAACCGCGGAACUGCACUCGAAACUUUUGGACUAGAGUGUGAGAGGGGUAAAGGGAAUUCCCGGUGUAAGGGUGAAAUCUGCAGAGAUCGGGAAGAACACCAGUCGCGAAGGCGCUUUACUGGCUCACAACUGACGCUGAGGGACGAAAGCUAGGGUAGCGAACAGG